rnacentral:rRNA from 1 species
GCUUGCUUGUUGGGGUUGUAGGACACUUUAUACGGAGUUACAAAGGACGACAUUAGACGAAUCAUCUGGAAAGAUGAAUCAAAGAAGGUAAUAAUCCUGUAGUCGAAAAUGUUGUCUCUCUUGAGUGGAUCCUGAGUACGACGGAACACGUGAAAUUCCGUCGGAAUCUGGGAGGACCAUCUCCUAAGGCUAAAUACUCUCUAGUGACCGAUAGUGAACCAGUACCGUGAGGGAAAGGUGAAAAGCACCCCGGAAGGGGAGUGAAAUAGAACCUGAAACCGUGUGCUUACAAGUAGUCAGAGCCCGUUAAUGGGUGAUGGCGUGCCUUUUGUAGAAUGAACCGGCGAGUUACGAUUUGAUGCAAGGUUAAGCAGUAAAUGUGGAGCCGUAGCGAAAGCGAGUCUGAAUAGGGCGUUUAGUAUUUGGUCGUAGACCCGAAACCAGGUGAUCUACCCUUGGUCAGGUUGAAGUUCAGGUAACACUGAAUGGAGGACCGAACCGACUUACGUUGAAAAGUGAGCGGAUGAACUGAGGGUAGCGGAGAAAUUCCAAUCGAACCUGGAGAUAGCUGGUUCUCUCCGAAAUAGCUUUAGGGCUAGCCUCAAGUGAUGAUUAUUGGAGGUAGAGCACUGUUUGGACGAGGGGCCCCUCUCGGGUUACCGAAUUCAGACAAACUCCGAAUGCCAAUUAAUUUAACUUGGGAGUCAGAACAUGGGUGAUAAGGUCCGUGUUCGAAAGGGAAACAGCCCAGACCACCAGCUAAGGUCCCAAAAUAUAUGUUAAGUGGAAAAGGAUGUGGCGUUGCCCAGACAACUAGGAUGUUGGCUUAGAAGCAGCCAUCAUUUAAAGAGUGCGUAAUAGCUCACUAGUCGAGUGACACUGCGCCGAAAAUGUACCGGGGCUAAACAUAUUACCGAAGCUGUGGAUUGUCCUUUGGACAAUGGUAGGAGAGCGUUCUAAGGGCGUUGAAGCAUGAUCGUAAGGACAUGUGGAGCGCUUAGAAGUGAGAAUGCCGGUGUGAGUAGCGAAAGACGGGUGAGAAUCCCGUCCACCGAUUGACUAAGGUUUCCAGAGGAAGGCUCGUCCGCUCUGGGUUAGUCGGGUCCUAAGCUGAGGCCGACAGGCGUAGGCGAUGGAUAACAGGUUGAUAUUCCUGUACCACCUAUA